CUGGGGAGCUGGGGGAGGUAGCAAGGAGACUAUAAGUUGAAGGAGAGCAUGGAUUUGAGAAAUAUCCUGCUCUACUUGCAGCAGUUUUUGCUCUAUCUGCACCAUUAUAAGCUCAAUGCGAGUCAGAGUAUCCUGGUCUUCUGCAGUGGCAGUCCUGGAAGACUCACCCCGUUCUGUCUGUGCACUUGGCUCCACUAAACAGUAACUAACAGU
rnacentral:misc_RNA from 1 species